rnacentral:rRNA from 1 species
CUAGCAUAUCAAUAAGCGGAGGAAAAGAAACCAACAGGGAUUGCCCUAGUAACGGCGAGUGAAGCGGCAACAGCUCAAAUUGAAAUCUGGCGUCUUUGGCGUCCGAGUUGUAAUUUGCAGAGGGCGCUUUGGCAUUGGCAGCGGUCCAAGUUCCUUGGAACAGGACGUCACAGAGGGUGAGAAUCCCGUACGUGGUCGCUAGCCUUUACCGUGUAAAGCCCCUUCGACGAGUCGAGUUGUUUGGGAAUGCAGCUCUAAAUGGGAGGUAAAUUUCUUCUAAAGCUAAAUACUGGCCAGAGACCGAUAGCGCACAAGUAGAGUGAUCGAAAGAUGAAAAGCACUUUGGAAAGAGAGUUAAAAAGCACGUGAAAUUGUUGAAAGGGAAGCGCUUGCAGCCAGACUUGCCUGUAGUUGCUCAUCCGGGUUUUUACCCGGUGCACUCUUCUAUAGGCAGGCCAGCAUCAGUUUGGGCGGUUGGAUAAAGGUCUCUGUCACGUACCUCCUCUCGGGGAGAACUUAUAGGGGAGACGUAAUGCAACCAGCCUGGACUGAGGUCCGCGCAUCUGCUAGGAUGCUGGCGUAAUGGCUGUAAGCGGCCCGUCUUGAAACACGGACCAAGGAGUCUAACAUCUAUGCGAGUGUUUGGGUGUCAAGCCCGAGCGCGUAAUGAAAGUGAACGGAGGUGGGAACCUUUCGGGGUGCACCAUCGACCGAUCCUGAUGUCUUCGGAUGGAUUUGAGUAAGAGCAUAGCUGUUGGGACCCGAAAGAUGGUGAACUAUGCUUGAAUAGGGUGAAGCCAGAGGAAACUCUGGUGGAGGCUCGCAGCGGUUCUGACGUGCAAAUCGAUCGUCAAAUUUGGGCAUAGGGGCGAAAGACU